rnacentral:rRNA from 1 species
UGGGGAAUUUUGCGCAAUGGGCGAAAGCCUGACGCAGCGACGCCGCGUGUACGAUGAAGGCCUUUGGGUCGUAAAGUACUGUUAACGGGGACGAACGUUGCCCUUUGAAUAGAGGGGCAGCCUGACGGUACCCGUUGAGGAAGCACCGGCUAACUCUGUGCCAGCAGCCGCGGUAAUACAGAGGGUGCGAACGUUGCUCGGAAUGACUGGGCGUAAAGCGCGCGCAGGUGGCGUGUUAAGUCGGCUGUGAAAUCCCUUGGCUCAACCAAGGACGUGCAGUCGAUACUGGCAGGCUCGAGUCCCGGAGAGGGUGGUAGAAUUCCCAGUGUAGAGGUGAAAUUCGUAGAUAUUGGGAGGAAUACCGGUGGCGAAGGCGACCGCCUGGACGGGUACUGACACUGAGGCGCGAAAGCGUGGGGAGCAAACAGGAUUAGAUACCCGCGUAGUCC